AACCUACCCUUGACUGGGGGAUAGCCCGCCGAAAGGCGGAUUAAUACCGCAUAAAAUAAAGCUUCGGCAUCGUGGUUUUAUUAAAGAUUUAUUGGUCAAGGAUGGGGUUGCGUGCCACUAGCUAGUUGGGGGGGUAACGGCCCACCAAGGCGACGAUGGCUAGGGGAGCUGAGAGGCUGGUCCCCCACACGGGCACUGAGAUACGGGCCCGACUCCUACGGGAGGCAGCAGUAGGGAAUAUUGGGCAAUGGGCGAGAGCCUGACCCAGCCAUGCCGCGUGCCG
rnacentral:rRNA from 1 species